GCCGUCAGGAACCCACUUACCAGAAAGCUUCUUGAUCUUCCUGAGAGCUGGAAAACAAAACCAUAUCUUUAUAAAUAAGGGGCAACCAGUUGUCCGACACAGUUGAGCACUCUGGGGUCCUUCUGGAGAGCAGAUGAAGAAGCUAGAGCAGAGCUACUUAUACAGCUGCUUGGAUAACAUCUGUUGAAUGAUGUAAGUAAAAUGUGCGGCUAUGGAGGAGUUUUGUUUGUUAUAUUAAUAUCUCUGUUCAGCGCUGAUUGAAAGCAGGAGGUGCAGAGGUGUGUGGAAGCAGCCUACCUGUUACGGUCACAAGGAAGAAAACCUCCAAGUGGAAGUCCUUGAUCCAGAUGGUGCUGUAUGCUGAAACAGAGAGCAGUCUCCCUGUCAAAUCAACGAGAAAUCACGCCGAAUGCUGGAUACACAGGUGCCUGUACCCUCAGGCCACUGGUCCAAAUCCAGCUCAGCAUCCAGUCCUGCUCAGCUCCGAAGGCUGUAACUAAGUGACGGGUGUCUGGUGGCCUGGGCUUAAUGAGGAAGCUGUACCAGCCCUAUUUGAGUGGAAAGGUGCUGAAAUGCCUCCUAACUGAUACCUUUCUACCGCAGAAAUACACAGUGCUUAAAUGCCUCUGGAGAGUAAAACGUUGUUUUAAACCCAAAAC
rnacentral:lncRNA from 1 species